rnacentral:rRNA from 1 species
UGAGUAAAGCGCGCAAAAACCUUCGGCAGUAGGGAGUGGGUGGUAGAGGUGGGGGAGAGAGUGGUUUUCUUCCUGCUUUCUGCUGUCUAUUGCCUCCUGCCUGGGGUGUGUGGCGGCUUCGGGAGGGGCUUGCGGCCUAUCAGGUAGUUGGUGGGGUAACGGCCUACCAAGCCAUCGACGGGUAGCUGGUCUGAGAGGAUGGUCAGCCGGACUGGGACUGCGAUACGGCCCAG